GGCGCCGUGGCUUAGUUGGUUAAAGCGCCUGUUUUAUAAACAGGAGGUUGUGAGUGCGAAUCUCACCCACUGGUGCCU